AUGACUUCCAAAAGACAAUACAUUGUAUAUCCAAAUAGGUCUUUGCAAAGGGGAAAUCAUGCUACCAACCUAUAUUCAAGAGGAAGAGUAAACUUUCCAUCAUCAAGCUGCAACUCAGAGAAUAACAUCACUGUUGGGAAGCCAGAAAACCGUGAAGUAACUCGCAACUGGAUUCUCUCGAUGCAUAAAAAUGCAGUCAAAGUUUCUGAAGUGGAAAUUUCUAUUCCUCCUAGUCUACACACAUCCCUAACUGAUUCUAAAGAAUCUUUGAUUACUUCAAUCAUGGAAGAAUGUGGCAAAGUACAUAUUCAUUUUCCAAGUACCAACUUGGGCCUUCAAAAAGUCCUUAUUAGAGGCCCUGCAGAAAGUGUUGAAAAGGUUAAGAAAAAACUUCUGCAACUUGCAGAAGAAGAACAGACAAAGAGUUACUCCGUGGAUGUCCCUGUACAGUCAAAAUAUCACCAAUUUCUUAUGAGUAAAAAUGGUGGCAACCUUCAUAAAAUCUGUGAGAAGACAGGGGCACAUAUCAUUUUCCCUACCUUUAAUAACAAGGAUCAAGAAUCAGUAACCAUCAUAGGGACAGAAGAGGCUGUUAAAGAUGUGCAAAAAGAGGUAGAGGUUUUACUGAAAGAUCUGGAGAAUGUGGUGGAGGACAGCAUAAUGAUCGAUCCCAAAUUCCAUAGUUAUUUUGUCAUGCAAAAGGGACAGCUUUUAAGAGAAAUGAUUAAGGAAUACGGUGGUGUGUUUAUUACCUUUACAUAUGCAGGAAAACAGAGUACAAAAGUCACAAUUAAAGGAGCAAAAGCUUGUGUUGAAGCAGCAAAGAAACAUAUUCAGGAGAUAUUUGAGCCCUUGGGUUCCCAAAUCACAACUCGGUGUAUUGUUCCCCCCAAAUUCCAUCCCUUUAUCAUGGGACCAAUAUGCUCUAGAAUUCAACAAAUUGCAAGAGAUUGUAAGGUUCAAAUCAAAUUUCCAGAAACAGAAAAACCAACUACAAACACACAUUCAGAGGCUCAGGAAACUGGGAAAGAAAAGGGGGGUAAGAACACUAAAGAGCCAGUUUCAACUGCUGCAAAAAAAAGUGACACCAUGUCUAUCUCAGGCAAAGGAGAAAAUUGCAAGGAGGCCACGCAAGCUGAGGAGUCUCUUGUUCCUGUCACUGCUGAAGUCCAAGUACCUUUUCACCUACACCCAUAUAUCAUUGGGCACAAAGGAAGUGGCUUACGCAAGCUAAUAAAGGAAUUUGAAGUUCAUAUUCAGGUAUCACAACCUGGAGGAAAUUUUCAUAUCAUAUCUAUUAUGGGCCUUGAAGCAAAUGUAGAACAAGCCAAGAUGAAAUUGCAAAAACAAGUAAAAGCUUUACAAAUGGAAAUGGAUGACCGGACAUUAAGAAAUUUUAGGCAAACAUUCAGUUUAGAUCCCAAAUAUCAUUCCAAGAUCUUUGGUAAUAAAGGUAUACUUAUUUCCCAGAUUUGCACAGAAUAUAAUGUUACUGUUCAUUUUCCAAAGAAAGGAGUCAAUCCAGCACAAGAUCAAAUUACCAUUUCGGGUUCUAAAGACAAUAUCCUAGGAGCUCGAGAUGCAAUAAUGAAAAUGCUGCGUAAGAUUGAAAAAACUGUUUCCAAGGAAAUCCCACUGAACCAUCAGGUUUGUGCCAAUAUUAUCGGAUUUGGUGGAAAAUCCAUCCACAAAAUCAUGGAACAAUUCCAAGUAGACAUCCGUGUACCUUCAAAAGGAAGCUGCAGUAAUUCUAGCAUCAUUGUGAGUGGAUCAUCUUGUAAUGUACAAGAUGCAAUUGACUAUAUCUUGACACUUGAGAAACAUUUCCUGUCUGUUGGAAAGUGUGAACAUCUACUGGAGCAUGUUAAGCGUGGUCCUGGUCACAUAGCUGCAAAACCAUCUAAGAGUGUUGGGAAACGAAAUGCUCUUCGUCAUGCAAAAUCCACCACACAUCCUCCACAUGUGGACAAUUCUGAAGAUUUUCCCAAAUUGAAACAUCAAGUGUCUCCUAAACCUCACCCUUGGAGACCAUAA